rnacentral:rRNA from 1 species
CCUACGGGAGGCAGCAGUGGGGAAUCUUGCGCAAUGGGCGAAAGCCUGACGCAGCCAUGCCGCGUGAAUGAUGAAGGUCUUAGGAUUGUAAAAUUCUUUCACCGGGGACGAUAAUGACGGUACCCGGAGAAGAAGCCCCGGCUAACUUCGUGCCAGCAGCCGCGGUAAUACGAAGGGGGCUAGCGUUGCUCGGAAUUACUGGGCGUAAAGGGAGCGUAGGCGGAUAGUUUAGUCAGAGGUGAAAGCCCAGGGCUCAACCUUGGAAUUGCCUUUGAUACUGGCUAUCUUGAGUAUGGGAGAGGUAUGCGGAACUCCGAGUGUAGAGGUGAAAUUCGUAGAUAUUCGGAAGAACACCAGUGGCGAAGGCGGCAUACUGGCCCAUUACUGACGCUGAGGCUCGAAAGCGUGGGGAGCAAAACAGGAUUAGAUACCCUGGUAGUCCACGCUGUAAACGAUAGAGUGCUAGUUGUCGGCAUGCAUGCAUGUCGGUGACGCAGCUAACGCAUUAAAGCAACUCCGCCUGGGGAGUACGGGUCGCAAGAUUAAAACUUAAAGGAAAUUGACGG